CCUACGGGAGGCAGCAGUGGGGAAUAUUGGACAAUGGGGGCAACCCUGAUCCAGCCAUGCCGCGUGUGUGAAGAAGGCCCUCGGGUUGUAAAGCACUUUCAGUGAGGAAGAACGCCUGGUGGUUAAUACCCAUCAGGAAAGACAUCACUCACAGAAGAAGCACCGGCUAACUCCGUGCCAGCAGCCGCGGUAAUACGGAGGGUGCGAGCGGUAAUCGGAAUUACUGGGCGUAAAGCGCGCGUAGGUGGCUUGAUAAGCCGGUUGUGAAAGCCCCGGGCUCAACCUGGGAACGGCAUCCGGAACUGUCAAGCUAGAGUGCAGGAGAGGAAGGUAGAAUUCCCGGUGUAGCGGUGAAAUGCGUAGAGAUCGGGAGGAAUACCAGUGGCGAAGGCGGCCUUCUGGACUGACACUGACACUGAGGUGCGAAAGCGUGGGUAGCAAACAGGAUUAGAUACCCUGGUAGUC
rnacentral:rRNA from 1 species